rnacentral:rRNA from 1 species
AUUUUCCGGUUGAUCCUGCCGGACCCCACUGCUAUCGGGAUAGGACUAAGACAUGCUAGUUGAGCGCUUCAGCCAACACGAAGCGCAGCGUACAGCUCAGUAGCACGUGGCUAAUCUGCCCUUGGGACGAUAACAACCCCGGGAAACUGGGGCUAAUUUUCGAUAGGCGAAGAACUCUGGAAUGAGUCUUCACCCAAACAGUUUAGAGUUAUGCUCUUUAAACCGCCCAAGGAUGAGGCCGCGGCCGAUCAGGUUGUUGGUGAGGUAAUGGCUCACCAAGCCUUUUACCGGUGCGGGCCGUGAGAGCGGGAGCCCGGAGAUGGGCACUGAGACAAGGGCCCAGGCCCUACGGGGCGCAGCAGUCGCGAAAACUUUGCAAUACACGAAAGUGUGACAGGGCUAUCCCGAGUGCCAUCCGCUGAGGAAGGCUUUUACCCAGUCUAGAACGCUGGGGGAAUAAGGAGAGGGCAAGUCUGGUGUCAGCCGCCGCGGUAAUACCAGCUCUCCGAGUGGUGUGGAUGUUUAUUGGGCCUAAAGCAUCCGUAGCUGGCUAGGUCAGUCCCUUGUUAAAUCCACCGAAUUAAUCGUUGGAUUGCGGGGGAUACUGCCUGGCUAGGGAACGAGAGAGGCAGACGGUAUUUCCGGGGUAGGGGUGAAAUCCUAUAAUCCCGGGAAGACCACCAGUGGCGAAGGCUGUCUGCUAGAACGCGUCCGACGGUGAGGGAUGAAAGCUGGGGGAGCGAACCGGAUUAGAUACCCGGGUAGUCCCAGCUGUAAACGAUGCAGGCUAGGUGUUUGGACGGCCACGUGCCGUUCUAGUGCCGCAGGGAAGCUGUUAAGCCUGCCGCCUGGGGAGUACGAUCGCAAGAUUGAAACUUAAAGGAAUUGGCGGGGGAGCACCACACAGGGGUGAAGCUUGCGGUUUAAUUGGAUUCAACGCCGGAAAU